AUUGAACGCUGGCGGCAGGCCUAACACAUGCAAGUCGAACGGUAACAGGAAGAAGCUUGCUUCUUUGCUGACGAGUGGCGGACGGGUGAGUAAUGUCUGGGAAACUGCCUGAUGGAGGGGGAUAACUACUGGAAACGGUAGCUAAUACCGCAUAACGUCGCAAGACCAAAGAGGGGGACCUUCGGGCCUCUUGCCAUCGGAUGUGCCCAGAUGGGAUUAGCUAGUAGGUGGGGUAACGGCUCGCCUAGGCGACGAUCCCUAGCUGGUCUGAGAGGAUGACCAGCCACACUGGAACUGAGACACGGUCCAGACUCCUACGGGAGGCAGCAGUGGGGAAUAUUGCACAAUGGGCGCAAGCCUGAUGCAGCCAUGCCGCGUGUAUGAAGAAGGCCUUCGGGUUGUAAAGUACUUUCAGCGGGGAGGAAGGGAGUAAAGUUAAUACCUUGGCUCAUUGACGUUACCCGCAGAAGAAGCACCGGCUAACUCCGUG
rnacentral:rRNA from 1 species